AUUGARCGCUGGCGGCRUGCCUUACACAUGCAAGUCSAACGGCAGCACGGGAGCAAUCCUGGUGGSGAGKGGCGAACGGGUGAGUAAUAUAUCGGAACGUGSCCAGUCSUGGGGGAUAACGCAGCGAAAGCUGUGCUAAUACCGCAUACSAUCUACGGAUGAAAGCGGGGGAUCGCAAGACCUCSCGCGAUUGGAGCGGSCGAUAUCAGAUUAGCUAGUUGGUGGGGUAAAAGCCCACCAAGGSGACGAUCUGUAGCUGGUCUGAGAGGACGACCAGCCACACUGGAACUGAGACACGGUCCAGACUCCUACGGGAGGCAGCAGUGGGGAAUUUUGGACAAUGGGCGAAAGCCUGAUCCAGCAAUGGCGCGUGCAGGACGAAGGSCUUCGGGUUGUAAACUGCUUUUGUACGGAACGAAACGGUCUCUCUUAAUACGGGGGGCUAAUGACGGUACCGUAAGAAUAAGCACCGGCUAACUACGUG
rnacentral:rRNA from 1 species